CUGCUCAGGUAUUAAUCCACACUGGAAAACAUCAUCCUAAUCCCACAGGAAAAAAAGGAUACCCCAAACAGUGACCUGCUGCAGUUUUGUCUGAAAGUUGUCUGAUGACAAGGAACAAGCUUUCAUUUAUCCCAAGUGUAGAACAGGAAGGCAAUAUGUGUAAAGGGUUUCAGACUUGAGUGUGUUUGCCCGUUCAAGCAUUGUGAAGCCCGCUGGAGGACAUCUUUGUGAAUGGAGACAUCUGAUGAAUGAACGGGUCUGGUGAACAAUCUGCACUCUGCAAGCAUAAAGCAUUGGGUCUUGUUGAGAGAGAUUCACAAAUCUACACAUCUCUGACUCUUAAGUCACCAUAGAAACCCUCUAGCCUGCAGAUGCAGACUUGGACGAGUGUGACACUUCCUGUGUGUGUUUCAAUGCUUGAGGAGAACUGUGAGUUCAAUGUAUCCAA